rnacentral:rRNA from 1 species
CGCGUAGGUGGUAGUGCAAGUCUGGGGUGGAAUCCCAGGGCUUAACCCUGGAACUGCCUUGGAAACUGUAUUACUUGAGUCAGUGAGGGGAGGGUAGAAUUCCUGGUGUAGCGGUGAAAUCUGUAGAUAUCUGGAAGAACACCGGUGGCGAAGGCGAGCUUCUAUCAGAGGACUGACGCUGAGGCGCGAAAGCGUGGGGAGCAAACAGGAUUAGAUACCCUGGUAGUCCACGCUGUAAACGAUGUGCACUAGGCGUGGGGCACGUACGUGCUCUGUGCCGUAGUUAACGUGUUAAGUGCACCGCCUGGGGAGUAUGCUCGCAAGGGUGAA